CCCCUCAUCCUGGAUCAUACCACCCAGCUUUUAUUCCAGUCUCAGAGCCUGGGCGAGACUCCAUCCUGACCCUCCUCAGACCCUGCUCUGAUUUUCUUCGUGGAACAUGUCCACAUGUAUCUCUAAAGGGCUUUCUGUGGCGACAGAAGCAGAAGAAUAUGCACACCUCCGCAUCUCUGCCCUUCACUGAAGAUCGUUUUGUGGAAAUUGUCAGUACAUGUGUUUGUAAACACCUGAUACCAUUUUUCAUGAGGAGUGGGGAAGGGAAGAAGAAAGAGAGGGAGAGAAACAUUGAUGCCAGAGGGAAACACCGAUUGGUUGCCUUCCGUACAUGCCCCAACAGGGGACUGAACCCUCAACCCAGUCAUAAGCCCCGACCUUUGAUUUGAGGGAUGGCACCCAACCGACUAAGCCUCACCAGUCAGGGCAGCUAUCAACUCUUCGUCAUCUACUACAGGCCAAGCAGAUAAGAAAAGUUUUCCAAUGAAGAGUUGGAAAUCACAGAAAAUUUGAAAUUGGGGUUCAGCACGACCUGCUGCCUGGGCAGAUUCCAUCAGAGCUGAAGGAGACACCUUCCAGAGAUGUGUGGAUCCAAAUGGAAGAAAUGUCUCACUUGCUGAGCUUUCCUAACUGUCCUGCUCGUUUUCUAUCCCACGUAUCUUUAUGCAAGGAGGUUUGUUGAAAUAUUGCCUGACUUAGGGUGUUUUUUUGUAAUACGCAUACAUUAGAUGGAAAUGUAUCCAAACAUCUGUUUCCAAAUGCUCUUGCUGUGGAUUAAUUUCUUUUGAAAAGAAAUUACUUUCUCACUAAUUGUUAAAUGACCACUUCUACCUUGAAAGGACAGAUAAUGUGUUUACUUUUAAAAAAAAUACAUGCUAGAUGACCUACUAAGAAUAGCUACUCGCCAAGGCUCAUCUGCAACAUCUGUCUUUUUGUCAGAAAGGAAACAAGUGCCUCAUUCCCGGGUUCCAUAACUCCUUUAAACACACUGCCCUGAGCUAGUCUGCGUCCUGCCAGAGACCUAUGUGGCCAUCCACCGCAUGGUGACAUGUCAGAAGAUCCUCUGGGAGGGCUUUGUUUAUGAAGUUAAUCACACCAAUAACAUCCUCUAGGCAUGGAAACUGCAAUUCUUGGCCAUAAGCUGGACCUAGGACCACAAGAAGCUGCCUCACUCCUCCUCCUGACAACAGCCCCUCCUUGCGUAAGUUGUCUGCUUACAGUAACAGCAGUCACGUGACAAAUCCAUCUCAGGGCUGGUCCAGGGGAGGGCACCUGAACGGAUGGGUAUUCCUGAGCAUCUCAUAGGGGGUGUGCCCCCUGAUUGGAGCAUUCUACACAAAGGACUCUCUCUGGUUAAACUCAAAAACUUGUUUUUCUUUAGCCUCUUUUUCUUUUACUUCUUUAAAGUAAAAUACCUGGAAGAUUCAGUGUUCACAGGAGCGUGUACCCUUAGAGGAGUUGGCUAGUGGGGCUCUGGGAAGGCCUGGCAAGGAGACCUCCACCCAACACCCUCCACGGUCCCAGGGCCUGGGACAGAGAUGGUGAGAAAGGCAACGUCAACGGCUUCCACUUACGGAGCUAUUGUUUUGUGUCCUCCUACUCUGUGCUCAGUAAAUGAAGUUGACUCUC